rnacentral:rRNA from 1 species
UACGGAGGGGGCGAGUGUUGUUCGGAAUCAUUGGGCGUAAAGAGCGUGUAGGCGGCUCGACAGGUCCGUUGUGAAAACUCGAGGCUCAACCUCGAGACGUCGAUGGAAACCGUCGGGCUAGAGUCCGGAAGAGGAGAGUGGAAUUCCUGGUGUAGCGGUGAAAUGCGCAGAUAUCAGGAGGAACACCCGCGGCGAAAGCGGCUCUCUGGGACGGUACUGACGCUGAGACGCGAAAGCGUGGGGAGCGAACAGG